rnacentral:rRNA from 1 species
CUGAUGCAACAACGCCGCGUGAGGUAUGAAGGCCUUUGGGUGUGUGAAGCCUCUGUCCUAGGGGAAGAAAAAAAUGACGGUACCCGAGGAGGAAGCCCCGGCUAACUACGUGCCAGCAGCCGCGGUAAUACGUAGGGGGCAAGCGUUAUCCGGAAUUAUUGGGCGUAAAGAGUGCGUAGGUGGUCUACUAAGCGCGAGGUGAAAGGCAAUGGCUCAACCAUUGUUAGCCUUGUGAACUGGCAGACUUGAGUGCAAGAGAGGAAAGCGGAAUUCCUAGUGUAGCGGUGAAAUGCGCAGAUAUUAGGAGGAACACCGGCGGCGAAGGCGGCUUUCUGGAUUGUAACUGACACUGAGGCACGAAAGCGUGGGUAGCAAACAGGAUUAGAUACCCUGGUAGUCCACGCCGUAAACGAUGAGCACUAGGUGUCGGGACAUGAGUCUCGGUGCCGCAGUUAACGCAAUAAGUGCUCCGCCUGGGGAGUACGCACGCAGUGUAAAACUCAAAGGAAUUGACGGGGACCGCACAAGCAGCGGAGCAUGUGGUUUAAUUCGAAGCAACGCGAAGA